UACGGGGGGAGCAAGCGUUGUUCGGAUUUACUGGGCGUAAAGGGCGCGUAGGCGGCCACCGCAAGUCGACUGUGAAAUCUCUGGGCUUAACCCAGAACGGUCAGCCGAUACUGCGGGGCUAGAGUGCAGAAGGGGCAACUGGAAUUCUCGGUGUAGCGGUGAAAUGCGUAGAUAUCGAGAGGAACACCUGCGGCGAAGGCGGCCUUCUGGACGAUGACUGACGCUGAGACGCGAAAGCGUGGGGAGCAAACAGG
rnacentral:rRNA from 1 species